rnacentral:rRNA from 1 species
AUGGCUCAGGAUAACGCUGGCGGCGUGCCUAACACAUGCAAGUCGAACGGAAAGCUACCGCUUCGGAGACUUCGGUCAAUGUUUGGUAGUUUUAGUGGCGGACGGGUGAGUAACGCGUGGAUAACCUGCCAUAUACAGGGGGAUAACAGUUAGAAAUGACUGCUAAUACCGCAUAAGCGCACAGUCUCGCAUGGGACAGUGUGAAAAACUCCGGUGGUAUAUGAUGGAUCCGCGUCUGAUUAGCCAGUUGGCGGGGUAACGGCCCACCAAAGCGACGAUCAGUAGCCGGCCUGAGAGGGUGAACGGCCACAUUGGGACUGAGACACGGCCCAAACUCCUACGGGAGGCAGCAGUGGGGGAUAUUGCACAAUGGGGGAAACCCUGAUGCAGCGACGCCGCGUGAGUGAAGAAGUAUUUCGGUAUGUAAAGCUCUAUCAGCAGGGAAGAUAAUGACGGUACCUGACUAAGAAGCACCGGCUAAAUACGUGCCAGCCGCUGC